UGAAAGUGAAAAUGGAUGACAGGAAAUAAGGUCGUUUACCUAGGACCAGAAUCCAAUUAUCAAAAGGGGAAAUCAUUGCGAGUUAACCAGGAGGUGAUCACAUAUCCCACAGAAGGCAACCAGACAUCAAGGAAAAGAGAGUCUUUAAAUAUAACUUGUAUCACAAACAUUGAACAACAGCAAUGCUGAGGAGUCUCCAUAUGCAAAUACUCAGAAUAUGAUAAAAAAUUAUGAAAAAAUGAAAGUGAAAAUGGAUGACAGGAAAUAAGGUCGUUUACCUAGGACCAGAAUCCAAUUAUCAAAAGGGGAAAUCAUUGCGAGUUAACCAGGAGGUGAUCACAUAUCCCACAGAAAAAAGGAGGUGAAGUGGGAUUUCCUUCAGGAUGCUGUGAAUAACAUUGUUUAAUAAAGGAACUGGGCCUAUUGCAGAGAAAUUUGAGAACAGAGCUAUGGGGAGAAUACUAAACUGAAUGCUGAGAGGAUGAAAGGUAAAUUCAGUGAGAAACCAUGUAGCCCUUACAGAGACAGACACUAGAACUUUAAUUGGUAAGUCAGAGCCACAUGGUGAAACACAGAUUAAUGGAAAUGGGUUAAAUUAAUAUGUAAGAGUUAGCCUAUUAAAAACUAGAGCUAAUGGGUUAAGCAGUGCUUUAAUUAAUAUAGUUUCUGUGAGACUAUUUC